AAAUAAAAUUUUGUCAUGAUGCUAGUUUGCAAUACUGUGGAUGACUAUGCUGUCAGUUCACUUGGGAACACAAAUGUGAACAUGUUAGAAUUAAAAAAAUAAUAAUAAAAAAUUUUUUAAAAAAUAAAGAGAAUUUCUUUUCUAUAUGUAUGCUCUCCACCAAGAAUUCAGCAUAGGGAUGUUACAUGCAUAACAGUGAGUUAAAAUGUAAUAGAAAAUUCAACCUAUUCUUUCUUGUCUUUACACAUACUUGGGAGCCGUUUCCUUUUUGUCAUGAAAAUUAGUCCGUGUGAUGAGCAAAACUAAUACUCUAAAACUAAUAAUCUAAUAGUCUUUCUUUUUUUUCUCUUACUGUUAUUGGUUCAUCAACAAAAUACAUAAAUUGGGAGGUUGAUUUUUAGAUCUGAAGGUUUAUAGCAGUUAAGAGUUCAAAAUAACAUGAUGGGAGUUCCUGCCUCCUAGUCCAAGAUCUUCUUACAUGAGUUUGGGUUAGUCACAAAUUAGACUAAAUUCUGUGUUAAAACCUACUUGAUUCAUUGGCAUUUCUUAUUUUUACGUGUCUAUACAUCAGUACAAGGCACUCACACUGAUCCCUUCCUGAAAUUAGACUAAGCUAGGCACUCACACUGAUCCCUUUCUGAAAUUCGACUAAGCUAAGUAUGUUCUUUCACAUUUCAUAUUUAAUGAUACUUCUUGCCAAUAGAUCACUAUUUUAAUAACAAUUGUGUUUGAAGCCUGCUAUUUCCAUUAUAGUAUUAUAGGAAAUCAUUGAAUUUCUCCCAUUUUGGUAAUUCCUUAUAUUAUUAAUGUCGUUAAUUGGCCAUUGAAUAAGUUGGUUUCUUGAUAAGUUUUGUGAAGGAUUCUAUGCUAGCCAGCCAGUUAAUUUUGACUUGUUUAAGUCACGUUGAUAGUGCUCUGUGCUUCACUAGCAUGGUUCUGUUUCAAGCACGUCUGUCUUGGUGUCUUAUUGAGACAGGUCGACAGAAGCAUUUGAUGAGAUGAGCGGCCCAAGUAAUCAUGUAGACAAAGAUAACAUGCACCUCAAAUUCGUAAGUUCCAGUCUAGCGGCCGCACGCCCAGCUGUGUGUUCGUAUGUUCCACUCGAUUAGGGUCAACCUGCAACGUGUUUCUGAUAUGAUAUUUUCCCCUAUUCUAGCAGCUGCCAGCUGUUCACACUC